CACAGCUUCCGCUGCACUGUGAGAGGGGACAACAAUGGCUGGUAAAAUAACACGGGCCAUUCCACAAGCCCCCGACCGGCAUCAUCCCCAAACAUAACAUGCUCAGCGCAAAACACGCACCGAGAAAAGCACAGCUCAAAAGGUCACCUGAGAGCCCCCACCACCAGAGAGGACCUUACCAAGCAUAUGAGCAGCUCUGUUCCAGAUAGAUGAGAAAGCCAAUGCACAGCAAAGCAGCGUCCUCAGGGUCAGGGUCCUGUCACCAGCCCCAUGGCCCAAUUCUGCCCUCACC